rnacentral:rRNA from 1 species
AACGAACGCUGGCGGCAUGCCUAACACAUGCAAGUCGAACGAGACCUUCGGUCUAGUGGCGCACGGGUGCGUAACGCGUGGGAACCUGCCUUUAGGUUCGGAAUAACUCAGAGAAAUUUGAGCUAAUACCGGAUAAUGUCUUCGGACCAAAGAUUUAUCGCCUUUAGAUGGGCCCGCGUAAGAUUAGCUAGUUGGUGGGUAAAGCCUACCAAGGCGACGAUCUUUAGCUGGUCUGAGAGGAUGAUCAGCCACACUGGGACUGAGACACGGCCCAGACUCCUACGGGAGGCAGCAGUGGGAAUAUUGGACAAUGGGCGAAAGCCUGAUCCAGCAAUGCCGCGUGAGUGAUGAAGGCCUUAGGGGUUGUAAAAGCUCUUUCGCGCACGACGAUAAUGACGGUAGUGCGAGAAGAAGCUCCGGCUAACUUCGUGCCAGCAGCCGCGGUAAU